GAUGAACGCUGGCGGCGUGCCUAAUACAUGCAAGUCGAGCGAACGGACGAGAAGCUUGCUUCUCUGAUGUUAGCGGCGGACGGGUGAGUAACACGUGGAUAACCUACCUAUAAGACUGGGAUAACUUCGGGAAACCGGAGCUAAUACCGGAUGAUAUUUUGAACCGCAUGGUUCAAAAGUGAAAGACGGUCUUGCUGUCACUUAUAGAUGGAUCCGCGCUGCAUUAGCUAGUUGGUAAGGUAACGGCUUACCAAGGCAACGAUGCAUAGCCGACCUGAGAGGGUGAACGGCCACACUGGGACUGAGACACGGUCCAGACUCCUACGGGAGGCAGCAGUAGGGAAUCUUCCGCAAUGGGCGAAAGCCUGACGGAGCAACGCCGCGUGAGUGAUGAAGGUCUUCGGAUCGUAAAACUCUGUUAUUAGGGAAGAACAUAUGUGUAAGUAACUGUGCACAUCUUGACGGUACCUAAUCAGAAAGCCACGGCUAACUACGUG
rnacentral:rRNA from 1 species